AUCGAAUAACAUAAAGAAAUGUAUAGAGUUGCUGCCUGGAACAAUAUACUGAAAUACAAAAAUACUGUCAUUAAAUCUCAAAACCCGGAAUCCCACGGUCUACACAGGCUAUAGAAGAACAUACAAUGCUCUAAUCACCAGAAUAGUCUAAUACAAAGAAGAACGGAAUAGAAACUAGGUACUAUAGAUAGAAUGAGAGGGAGACUCUUCGGAUCUGCGGACACGGCCGAUGUAUACCUCAAGUCUCCGAGUAUAGCUCCUGGAUCACCGAUAGAGUGCCCGGCCAAAUGUACCUAGAUCUGCACAUGAAAAACAUGUGCAUAAGAGGCAUGAGUACACCAUAGUAGUACUUAGUAAGUGUCAAGCCUAACCUCGGUUGAGUAGUGAAGAGGAAGGUCAAGGCCCUAUUAAGAUAAAAUAUAAUAAAACUGACAAUAGUAUGAGAUAAACAUAAUAAUGAUAUACAACAAUGAAAUAAAACAGUUUACACAACAACAAUUAACCCGCAGAAAAAUAAGAUAAUACGGAGUAAAUUGCUCAAUAUCAGCACCAAUAAUAAGGAUCUUCCAGGAUAUAGUCAUGUAGUCCAUUAUGUCAAUCUGUACGAGGAGCUCCCGGGAUACCGUCCGUAGUCCACCGUAUAAAUGUAUCAGAAGGAUCUCUCGGGAAUCUAACAUGUAGUCCACAGUAUGAAUAUAUCGAAAAUAUCUCAUGGGAAUCUAACCCGUAGUCCACCGUAUGAAUAUAUCGGAAGGAUAUCACAGGAAUCUAACCCAUAGUCCAUCGUAUGAAUGUAUCUAAAGGAUAUCGCGGGAAUCUAACCCAUAGUCCAUCGUAUGAAUGUAUCUGAAGGAUCUACCGGAAAUAUAACCCGUAGUCCAUCAUAUAUCAAUACUCAGUACAGGGGGAAUCUACCGGCUGCAUUGCCGUAGUUCCAUAUAACCGUGUAGGGGGAGCUACCGGAAUCCCACAUCAGUCAUCCCAAUGUAAAUGCGCAACCAAAUCAGAGAAAAUAUUCAGAAAAUAAAGUACAACAAUACAAGUAACAAUUAAUUCUAGCCUAACAUGCUUCACGUAAUUUCAAUUAAGGAAAUUAAGCAAUUAAUUCUAUCUAAUCAUGCUUCUCUAACUAACACAGAUUAAUCUUGCAUUGAAAUCAGUCAAAUGAACAAAAAAACACAGUUUAAACAAUUCAAGUAAAGUAAAUUUUUUCAACAAUCGGCACAAGCACAUGCUCAUCACAGAAAAGCACCUGUAAGUUAAAGAGAUGAGGAAGAUCGAAGAUAUCCGAGAAGUUCUGUAAAUUGUGAUAUACAGAAAUCGAAUAAAACCCACCUUUGGAAUAAGGUAAAUGCUACACGUAGUAGUUGGGUAGAUAUAGAAAAGCCACAUAUACAGAUAAGUCCAAAAUUCUAAUAUGCCCUCAAACAAAGCUUAAAAUACACAUACGCAAGCAUGUCGAAACUCAUGCUCUCCUAUUCAAGAAAAGAAAUGCUAAAAAAGAACUUUGAUCUGCAACACCUUCACAGCUUUUCAACUUUAAAGUUCUCAUCUUUUUGUAAUUUCUCCAUAAAAAUCCCGCUAAAUAUCUAAGAAAAGAAAUGCUAAAAAAGAACUUUGAUCACUAAUACUUUCACAGCUUUUCAACUUUAAAGUUCUCACCUUUUUUGUAGUUUCUCCAUAAAAACUAUAACACCCUUAUCUCUUGCUUUAAUUCCAGACAACAAAAGACUUUCCAAAUUCAACUCAGAAUCACAAGAAUCAGAGGUACUUGGGAUUAGGACAAGAUGAAGAGAUUGAAAACAGUAAAUGAUCGGAGGAAUCUACGGUGGCUGAGAUUGUAACAAAGACAAUAAACGGAGAGAGCGAAGAAAGAAAUGGAGGCGGACGACGGCGACAGAAUAUUUCUUGAAGAAGUUUAUCACAGAGAAUUGUAUUCAUUCUUGUACUUUGCAGACACAAAAAAUCAACUGAUAUCUAUAGUUUGGCAAACUAAAUUUAUUUUCUUGAUUUUAAUUCAUCUCUGAAAAAAGUUCCAAUUUCAUCCAUCAAAAUUCUAACUCGAAAAUAUGUAAUUAAUUCACUCAUCUUUUACGAAUUUGAAACAAAAAAGAAGGAGAAAGAGAUAGAAAAUAAUAAAAUUGUUAUUAAGGAGUAAAAAAAGCACCUGUAAGUUAGAAGAGAUAAGGAAGACCGAAGAUAUCUAAGAAGCUCUGUAAAUUAUGGUGUACAAAAAUUGAAUAAAAA
rnacentral:lncRNA from 1 species